UUUUGGUACUAAAAAAACAGCGGCGGUUGUUGCAGUAUGAUCGGGUAUAGAUCUUGGAAAGGACUUUAAUUAGUAUGUUCUAUAUUGACUUGACAGGAACAUGGUUUCAGGACAGGCAGUCCGGCUGGACGACUUGACUCCCACGAUCUAGAUGAGUCUUUGGAGCUGUGGAAUGUGAUAGAGAACCAAACCAUGACGGUCCAGGCACACGAAGG